UGUUUGUAAUGAAGGCCGAAAAACAGAAAUGUUAAUAUUUUGUAAGGUGUAAAAGAGUUCAAUCUCAAUCUUCAUAUAUUUUAAAGUCAGUCAGAAAUAAAUACAAACAAACCUUUGAAUAUCACCAAAUGAAACCGCCUCAUUCCACUUGAGCUUUUGAGAAUCUCUCGCAUAACUCUGACAAAACAAACGCAUUGACAAUAUUGAACUUUCUAAGCUGCCCGACAAUUCUAUUGAUUUGAUGUGGAACUGAAGAGAGCUAUUUUUGGAAAACGGCUGGCCCUAAAUCUUAAGCCUCAAUACAAAUUGCCUGAUGAUUUGUGAGCGAAUUUACAUGCGCGAUUCCACAAAUGAGGAAGUUUAUCAUUAGCCGCACAAUUCAAGCCUCAAACACGCUCGACAAAUUCGAGGCAUUCAUUAGAUGGCUUUUUGUUCAUUUGCGCACAAUGCGAUUGGUUGGAUGGCGGGCAAGCAAAUGCAGCGGCUCAUUUAAAUCAUUUCGUAUAAUGCCAAUAGCCAUGGCAUUAUAACUCACAUAUUAUGCUGCACUGCUAAUCGCAUCACCUGACGCAACACUCAAGUGGGAAAAAGUGCCGCAAGACUUUCAUUCGAUUAUGCAAUCUACAUAUUAUUAAGAUGGCACUAGGUUAUUUAAUUGGACAUAUUAAUAGACAAAUACAAAUACCACUCUCAUUUGCAUGAGCUAUAUUUAAAUGUAAAA